CCUACGGGAGGCAGCAGUGAGGAAUAUUGGUCAAUGGACGAGAGUCUGAACCAGCCAAGUAGCGUGAAGGAUGACUGCCCUAUGGGUUGUAAACUUCUUUUAUAUGGGAAUAAAACGUUCCACGUGUGGGAUUUUGUAUGUACCAUAUGAAUAAGGAUCGGCUAACUCCGUGCCAGCAGCCGCGGUAAUACGGAGGAUCCGAGCGUUAUACGGAUUUAUUGGGUUUAAAGGGAGCGUAGGUGGAUUGUUAAGUCAGUUGUGAAAGUUUGCGGCUCAACCGUAAAAUUGCAGUUGAAACUGGCAGUCUUGAGUACAGUAGAGGUGGGCGGAAUUCGUGGUGUAGCGGUGAAAUGCUUAGAUAUCACGAAGAACUCCGAUUGCGAAGGCAGUUCACUGGACUGCAACUGACACUGAGGCUCGAAAGUGUGGGUAUCAAACAGGAUUAGAUACCCGAGUAGUC
rnacentral:rRNA from 1 species